rnacentral:rRNA from 1 species
UACGUAGGGUGCAAGCGUUAUCCGGAAUUAUUGGGCGUAAAGAGCUCGUAGGCGGUCUGUUGCGUCGGCUGUGAAAACCCGGGGCUCAACCCCGGGCCUGCAGCCGAUACGGGCAGACUAGAGUUCGGCAGGGGAGACUGGAAUUCCUGGUGUAGCGGUGAAAUGCGCAGAUAUCAGGAGGAACACCGGUGGCGAAGGCGGUUCUCUGGGCAUUACCUGACGCUGAGGAGCGAAAGUGUGGGGAGCGAACAGG